GAUGAACGCUGGCGGCGUGCCUAAUACAUGCAAGUCGAGCGAACAGACGAGGAGCUUGCUCCUCUGACGUUAGCGGCGGACGGGAGAGUAACACGUGGAUAACCUACCUAUAAGACUGGGAUAACUUCGGGAAACCGGAGCUAAUACCGGAUAAUAUAUUGAACCGCAUGGUUCAAUAGUGAAAGACGGUUUUGCUGUCACUUAUAGAUGGAUCCGCGUCGCAUUAGCUAGUUGUUAAGGUAACGGCUUACCAAGGCAACGAUGCGUAGCCGACCCGAGAGGGUCAUCGCACACACUGGAACUGAGACACGGUCCAGACUCCGACGGGAGGCAGCAGUAGGGAAUCUUACGCAAAGGGCGAAAGCCUGACGGAGCAACGCCGCGUGAGUGAUGAAGGUCUUCUGAUCGUAAAACUCUGUAAGUAGGGAAGAACAAAUGUGUAAGUAACCAUGCACGUCUUGACGGUACCUAAUCAGAAAGCCCCGGCUAACUACGUG
rnacentral:rRNA from 1 species